CAUCUACAUGUGUGGUACUGCUGCUGCCCAACUUACCAAGGGAGAUUUGGCUUCCAGAUGUCGUCUUCAGGUUAUUUUAUGCAAACAUACCAAGGCACAGGUCCAGGUGGCCAACUGAAGAGUGUUCAAGCCUCUGACACAGAGACAUACCAGUAUCAUCUGGAUUUAUUUUCAUGAGGAGAAGGGGAAGGGGAAAAGGGAAGGGCUUGAUCUCUUAAGACCAACAAAUCCGAAGAGAAUAUUGUCCUAUUGAAGUUUCAGAGCACCGUGAAGAGCAAAGACUAACUUGAGAGUAGGAUUUGACAAAAACUACAUAUAAAUCAAAUCAUAAAUAUGGUUUGAACAUUGAUCCCAUCUGUGUUAGCCCACUGUUAAGCAAGUAUUGCGCGGAAACGAACUGGAAUCUUUAUAAGCUGUGAAACAAGAUUUGUAUUAGUUCAGGGUUUCACUAAUUUCAAACGUAAUCAGUGCUAGGAUUAAUUAACAUUAUUUCUCAUGUUCUUUCUAUUGUGCCUUCCCAAAACUAUUAUUAAUGCUUUCCUGUGUAAAAAUAAUGGUGAAUAUUCAUGGCAUGAUGUGAAAAUUAAAUCUCGUGCUUUUUUAGAUAGA